GAUGAACGCUAGCGGAAGGCUUAAUACAUGCAAGUCGAGCGGUAGGUGGCUUCGGCCAUUGAGAGCGGCGCACGGGUGAGUAACGCGUACAUGACCUGCCUGUCAGAAGGGGAUAGCCCUGGGAAACUGGGAUUAAUACCCUAUGGUAUUGAUAUUAUGAAUGAUAUCAAUUAAAGUUGAGGCGCUGACAGAUGGAUGUGCGUCUGAUUAGCUAGUUGGUAGGGUAACGGCCUACCAAGGCGACGAUCAGUAGGGGGCGUGGGAGCGUGGUCCCCCACACGGGUACUGAGACACGGACCCGACUCCUACGGGAGGCAGCAGUAAGGAAUAUUGGUCAAUGCCCGCAAGGGUGAACCAGCCAUUCCGCGUGGAGGAUGAAGGCCCUAUGGGUUGUAAACUUCUUUUAGAUGGGAAGAAAAUGCUAGAUGUAUCUGGUACUGACGGUACCAUCAGAAUAAGCACCGGCUAACUCCGUGCCAGCAGCCGCGGUAAUACG
rnacentral:rRNA from 1 species